UACGUAGGUGGCAAGCGUUGUCCGGAAUUAUUGGGCGUAAAGCGCGCGCAGGCGGUUCUUUAAGUCUGAUGUGAAAGCCCCCGGCUCAACCGGGGAGGGUCAUUGGAAACUGGGGAACUUGAGUGCAGAAGAGAAGAGUGGAAUUCCACGUGUAGCGGUGAAAUGCGUAGAGAUGUGGAGGAACACCAGUGGCGAAGGCGACUCUUUGGUCUGUAACUGACGCUGAGGCGCGAAAGCGUGGGGAGCAAAC
rnacentral:rRNA from 1 species